rnacentral:rRNA from 1 species
UACGUAGGUGGCAAGCGUUGUCCGGAUUUAUUGGGUUUAAAGGGUGCGUAGGCGGCUUUGUAAGUCAGUGGUGAAAUAUGGCAGCUCAACUGUCAAGGUGCCAUUGAUACUGCAGAGCUUGAGUACAGAUGAGGUAGGCGGAAUUGACGGUGUAGCGGUGAAAUGCUUAGAUAUCGUCAAGAACACCUAUAGCGAAGGCAGCUUACUAGGCUGUAACUGACGCUGAGGCACGAAAAGUGUGGGGGAUCAAAACAGGGAUU